AAUGAGAGCCAUUAACACAUGGCAAGUCUCACGGUGAAGCCAAGCUUGCUUGGUGGAUCAGUGGCGAAUUGUUGAGUAACACGUGAGCAACCUGCCCUGGACUCUGGGAUAAACGCUGGAAACGGCGUCUAAUACUGGAUAUGAGACGUGAUCGCAUGGUCGUGUUUGGAAAGAUUUUUCGGUCUGGGAUGGGCUCGCGGCCUAUCACUUGUUGGUGAGGUAAUGGCUCACCAAGGCGUCACCGGUAGCCGGCCUGAAAGGGUGACCGGCCACACUGGGACUGAGAACGGCCCAACUCCUACGGGAGGCAGCAUGGGGAAUAUUGUUAAUGGGCAAAACCUGAUGCAACAAAACCGCUGAAGGAUACAGCCUCGGUUUUAAACUCUUUUACCAGGAAGAAGCAAAAUGACGGUCCUUUAUAAAAACG
rnacentral:rRNA from 1 species